GAAGAAUUUCUUUAACAUUUCUUAAGGUGCAUAUUUGUUGAUGAUGGAUUCCCUCAUCUUUUUUAUUAUAACAUCUUUAUUUUGUAACAUCUUUAUUUUGCUUUCUUUAUUGAGAGAUAAUUUUGUUCAGCAAAGAAUUCUAGAUUUUUUAAAUCUUACAAUUUUUUAAAUUUGAACUCAUUGUCUCUUGGCUUGCAUAAUUUCAGAAUUCCUCUCACUGUUAUUCUGUACCACUUUGUGCAUAUGUAUAUUUUUAUCUGACUUCUAUGAAUAUUAUUUUAACGUGUAAAUUAGUAUUUUAUUUUUCUCUUCAUCCUGGAUUUUUAACCACUUGUUUCAUGUGAAUUUUUAAAAUUUAUGCUGUUUAUGGCUUGUUGAGGUUUUGGAUGCAUAUAUUUAUAGUUCUCACCAAAUCUGUAGAAUUUUUUGGCCAUUAUAUAUUCACAGUUAGUUCUUUUCCUCAUCUCUUCCCAUCUACUUCUAAGAUACCAACUGCAUCUGUUAUAGAAUGCUUGAUAUCACUACACAGUAAUUAGGGUCUGUUCAUUUUUUUUAAGUUUCUGGCCUUGAUUUAGGACAGUUUCUUUUGCUAUGCAUUUACCUUAUCUUUUCUUCUGCAAUACUGUGAUGAUUAUCCAUUAUAUCUAGUGUAUUUUUAAUUUCAAUAUGGUAUUUUUUAUUCCCUAAGAUUUUAUUUGCAUCACUUUUAUACAUUUUCAUUUUCUUCUUAUGUUCAUAUUUUGUGUUACCUCUCUAGAUAUAUUUAUAAUAGCCGUUUUAAUAUCUUUUGUGCUAAUUUCAUUCUCUCUCUCACUUUUGAGUCUGUUUCUCUUUAUUAACCAACUCUUUGUAUGAGUAUAUUUUCCUGCUUAUAUGCAUGCCUGGUAAUUCUUGUUUGAAUGCCAGACAUUUUAAAUUUUAUGUUGCUCGUGCUGGAUUUUUUGCUAUUGUUGUCAUUCCUUCAAACAGUUUUAGACUUUGUCCUAUAAGGCAGUUAAGUUACUUAUUAUUAGUUUGAUCCUUUGAGUCUUGCUUUUAUGCUCGUUAGGGCAAACCAAGGGCAAUCUUCAGUUUAGAGCUAAUUUAUUCCCACUAACAAGGCAAUACCUUUGUGAGCACUCUGCCAAAUGACCCAUGUUUUACAAGGUCUUUCCGUUCUGGCUCUAAGAAAUAUAAAUGAUUCCCAGUUGUCUAUGAGCUCUAAGAAUUCCUCAGCAUACUAUUUUCCAGAGCUCUUUUUGCCUGUACACAAUUACAUUAUUUUUAUUUGUCCAUAGAUUGCUACUCAAUCAAUGACUCAAAGGGACUCUCUGAAAAUUUCCAGAGUUUUCUCUAUGAAAUUCCUUCUUCUCUCAACUCUGUUCCAAGAAUUCUAGCUACCUUAGCUUCCCUGUACAUCAAUCUCUAUUUCUUCAAUUAAGCAAGAACAACAGGCUCUUUUGGGGUUCUCCCACUCUAUCCUAUGGCCUAGAAACUCCAGGUAGUAAACUGGGACAACAUAGGGCUUCUAUCAUUUGUUCUUUAUUCCUUAGGGAUCACAGUCCUGCAUUGUCUAUUGUCCAAUGAAUAAAAAUUGCUGUUUCAUAUAUUUUGUCUGGCUUUCUCCUUUUUAAUCUGGAAAGGUAAACAUGAGUUAUAUUACUAUAUUAUGGCUGAAUGUGAAACUCCACAUAUUUUUUCUGAUAGCUAUAUGAUAGCUAUUUUUUUCUUUUUUUUUAAAGUUAUUCACCUCUGUGAGCCUCAGUUUUCUCUUUAAUAAAUUCAGAAUAAUAAUAAUCUUUAUUUCACGAGAUUAUUGUGAUAAAAGUGUAUAGCAUCGAACUACAUCUGUAGUAGGCACUAGGUAGGCAUUUCUUUCAAUUUACUUUGAUAAUCAAGAGACACAGUACAUCACUCUACUUACCAAAUCACUUCCUAUCCUGACAAAAGUCAGUUGAAGCAUAUUUUUUUUCCAUACCAAUGUCCUUGCCAGCCACAGCCUAAAGGGAUCUCUCCUUUCUCUGAAUUCUUUUAGCAAUUAUUGUCUGUAAAAUUUGUUCAGUAAUUAAUCAUAGGUGCCCUUUAAUAGCAUAGCUACUGUUGUCUAGAAAUGCUAUUUAAAUCCUCUAUUAGCAUAUCUCAAAAUGCUAUUUAAAGCCAUUAUUGUUGGAUAUUAUCUAUUGUUUGUAAGUCUCUCUACCCAACAAGACAAGUUUCUCUGAGGGUGUAUUACUCAUCAUAAAUGUGUUACUGUCUCUACAGUUCCUGAAUCAGUGCCCAGCACAUAAUAGGGGCAAAAUUAUUAAUUUAGUUUUAAUUAUAUGUGUUCAAAGGAGUUAUUUAUUCCUUCAUGUUUUCCCCUAACUUUUAUCUUUUUCUAAUCCCUUUCGGAGACUUAAAAUUCUAUCCCAGAAAUGGCAUCAUCUUAAUAACAUGGAAUUUAUACAUUGCUCCUGGUAUAGAAUCCCUCUCCCCUCUUCAGUCAUCUUUAAAUGAGCAGCCUCUGAUCUUGUGUCUCUAAGCCCCAUUCUUUGGCAUUAUUAAAAGAAAAGAAUGGGUGAGGAGAGGACCAUAAAGCCCAGGACAAUAAUACAUGAGAUAGCAGAUACCACUUAGAGGCAUGGCAGGUCCUCAUGGCUGAAGAGCCACAUCCAGUUUGACUCUGUUCCUUGUGUGGAGCAUGGGGCCUGGCCGUCUCUGUCCAUCCAAUCUAAGACUCUGAUCAAAGGGUCAUAACAUGAGGCAAAUAAAUCUCUGUGUUUGUGAUUUCUUGGUUAUGAUCAAAGAUAAAUCAUGUGCUCUGUGUGAGUUGUAGGAUUUAUUGUUCUGUUAAUAUUCAAGAGGGGUCUCACCCCCUACCAAACAAACAAACAAACAAACAAACAAACAAAAAACUGUUGUUGUCUCAUGAACUUGAAAUCUUAUUGAUAAGCCAAACACAGGAAAGUCAUUUACAGGACUCCUUGGAGGGGCAACUGGUAUCUGAUUUUGCUUUCUCUACCCUAUGACCAUGCAUCAUUUUCCCUUGAACUGGAAAUUUCCAAGGAGAAAUGACACUUUAAUGAAUGAUGGUGUGGAUUUAGAAACCUAUUUCAUCUCAGUGACUUCCACAGAAAUUGAAUGUUUGCUAGUCACAUGAUGACUGGUAUGACUGAAAACCCCUGCAAACCUGCUAGAAUCGGAAAAGUCCUCUGCAUUCUUAAGGCCUGACACAAAAUUCAGGUACUCAUGAUUAUAACCUGAUUACAGUUCUACAGCAGGUUAAUGAAGUUUAAAUAAUUAGAAUCUAUUGUCGUAAACUAUUAAAACUGGUUCUGGUCACUUCCUUUGAGGUGAGUAAUAGUGAGAGUGCUAUUCUUUCUUACCUCCUGGGAGCCUGAGGCACGAUGCAGAGAAGAACCUCACAUAUCAUGCAUCAUCAGAGGACUAGAGUGAACUCAGGAAAUAUUUGCUCUUGUCACAUUUUCUUCACCGGAGCUAGAGACUUUUUACUAGGAAAAACUGCGAAGUAGGCUGAAUAUCUCUAAUUUCACCUGGUCCGUAGAGGAUGCCCUUUCUUCUGCCUCAGAUACUCAAUACUUUCAUGUUCUUUUCCCCUGUCUCCCACAACUUAUGGUUCUAAAUGAGGAAAAGUCUUAAAAAGUAAUUCAUUCACAAAUUACUCAACUCUUCUCCUUAUCCUUUCCUUAACAUGGACAAAUCUUAACCAAAAAGAGUGAAUCUUUAAUGAGGUAUUUUCAGCAUUAGCAAAUAAAAAUUUAGGGUCACAGAGGCUUUCUCCUGGUUCAUAAUCCCAAACCACUACAACUACUCUUAGGCCACCAACAUUCUCAGGGUGAUCCCGCAGGGAUGCUUAAUGAGUGUUAGCCACUGCGGAGUUCUCUUCCAACAGGCACAAAAAAAGCCAAGCAAAAAUGGUCUGUUUCACACCAGCACAGCUAGCAGGGAACCCACUAUUUGAUAUCCUUCAUUCAGAGUAGCAUGGUUCCCCUGCUUAUGAGCAAAUCCUUGUUCUCUCGAGCCUCUCCUGAUCUUCUCCUUAAAUUCUUCCAUUUGCACGACGGCUGCUUUGUCCUUUCUUUGACCUCUUCUCUGGGAUAAAUGAACCAACACUGGGAUAGCUGCUUCCUGUGUGAGUCUGUCGGCUUCACAGGAGGAAGGGGAAAAGGCAGAGUGGUCUCUGGUUUCAUCCUUCUUAACGUCUAUUUUUCACCUCCAUUGACUCCCCAGCUCCCUCUGACUCCCGUGGGUGAGCCCUGAUUUCCCCCACUGUCAAUACCUGAAUCCAGCCUCCCUCUCCCCAGCCCCUUGACUUCCCCACUAACACACUGAACCCUUCAUGUUUCAGGAAGUUUGUGAGGGCAGUUGGCGAGGUGAAUUGUGCUCCCUGACAAGUAUGCAAAGCAUUCUGUGAUAUAGUGGAUCUGGAAGCCCCUAUUAUAGGAGAUUUACUAUUCUGUUCUAAGGUUGCACUCCAGGUUGAAAUUGGCUGACAAGGUCUUAGCUUGGGUAGGAUUUAUUCCCCAUAUAUUAAAUUAUUUUUUUAAUUAGUUCAAUGCCCAGGUCAUUUCUAAACCGAAGAAAUGUGAAAUAAAUAAGUUUCUGAAGUAAAAAAGAAAUAGGCCAGCAUUUGAGUGAGUUGUUAAGUUUAGACAAAAAUGUUUGUAGCCCCCAAGCCAUUAUAUAUUAACUUCUACACAUUGGCUUAAGCACCAAGGAGCCACAUACAACCUAGACCUUCACAAAUUAAUUCCUAUUGCUACUGGUCUCCUUGGCCUCUGCUUAUAGAGCAACUUUUUUUUUUUUUUUUUUUUUUUUUUUUUUUUAGGGAGGCAUAAAGUACGUGUAAAAUCUUUGGCAGGAAAGCAGAAAUUGGGCCUUUUCAGUUAAUCUGAAAUCUUUUCCGCAUCCCUGGUUCAGUGAGUACAUAAGCGUGGGAGAGGUGGAAGGAGGGUGUCUGUGCCUGGCAGAUUGUGGGGAGGAGGUAUUAUUGCCUGCGCGCGUGCACACACAGACACACACAGACACACACAAACCCCAGAUGGUAACUAGAUGAGGGAGAGAAGCCAACAACACCAGGAGUUAUUUUAGGAACAAAACUAGGAAUCUGCAUAUGGCUAGAUUUUUCAUCUCAAACGUUAUUCUUGCAUAUGACAAGCUCCUCGGUAGGGUCGAAGCCAGUCCAUUGAUCAAUUCAAACUAUUUUCCUAGAUCCUAAUUCUUUGGAGGUAGGAGGAAAGGGUGAGUGGUCCUUUUAGCAGACUUGAGAUAUUGCAGAUCUUCUAGUUAAGGCCCUGUCAUUUUCCCAGAACCCUCUUCUCUCAGGGUAUAUACACAAGGACCAGUAAUGGCAGAGAAUAGUUCAAAGUUAUAAGAUUGCAGGAAUUUAGCAGUUUCUUUAUGUCUCUGGUGGCUGAUUAACUGUGUUGGUUAUGGGAUACUGCUGGUGAGAAAAAAAAGUGUUUGUUCUACUUUGAAAUUAGCUUUGCAAAUGUUCCACACUUACAAACUGCACCUCAAACAAUGAUCAAUAGAUUCACAAUUUCAUACUGUUGGGGAAAAGACAAUAAAAAGGAAGAGUAUGAAUGGUAUAACACCCAUUCUUUACUACUCCUAUUACCACUAAACAAUCUCAAACACAACAAUGUGUAAAUGGCAAUUUAGUAAUAUCAUCCAUAUAUAUAUCAAUAAUAUUAUUAUGCAUGUGUAAAUGCAUAAAAGACUACCAUUUCCUUCCUUUUCUUUAGUUCUAUCUUUUUAAUUAAUCAGUCAAUCCAUUAAUCAAUAUCUCUUGAUGGCCACUAUGGGAGGAGUGCUGUGAGUUUCAGGAGUAAUCUUAGUUUUCAACAGUAUUUAUCUGAAAUGCAACGGAAAGCUUUUUUUCAUUAUUUCACACUGUUGCUGGAAAGACUUUGAUGCUUCUGUGACUUGGAGAGAGAGUUUCAAACCAAGAAUUUUUUUUUUCUCUUCCAGCAUGAGGUAAAAUGCCACCAAAAUAAUGUGCCAAGCUCUGGGCCAAGCUCUGGGUAUACAAAAGCAAUGAAGACACAGUCACCGAUCUCAAAGAGCUCACAGUCUAGAGAUGAAGACAGCACAUAAAUAGUAAUUACAAGGUGUUGUAUUAAGUGGUUUAUCAGAUGCAUAUAUUAGAUUUCAUGUUAUAAGAACACAAGAGAGUGAGUCAUGAAUCAGAGUGAGGAAUAUGGUAAUGAUCCCUGCCCGAUUUUAUGUUUUCAGAAGUAGGGUGAGCUUGGUGCUUGCAUAAUUAAAUUCUCAUUGCCCUUAUAGAAAAUUUUGGGAUGGCAUGGUAGGCACAAGGCUUUGCAGAGCUUUUAUAAAGACGGUGUAGCAUGCAUCUGUUGCUUUAUUCAG
rnacentral:lncRNA from 1 species